GGGACACUGUCAGGUGGGCAGUUUGACUGGGGCGGUCGCCUCCCAAAAGGUAACGGAGGCGCUCAAAGGUUCUCUCAGUACGGUCGGAAAGCGUACGUAGAGUGUAAAGGCAAAAGAGGGCUUGAUUGCAAGACAUACAGGUCGAGCAAGGAUGAAAAUCGGACUUAGUGAUCCGGUGGUUCUGCGUGGAAGGGCCAUCGCUCAACGGAUAAAAGCUA
rnacentral:rRNA from 1 species